GCCGAUUUAGCUCAAAUGGUAGAGCACGAGUUUUGUAAACUUGAGGUCGCUGGUUCGAGACCAGCAGUCGGCA
rnacentral:tRNA from 1 species